CUGGUUGAUCCUGCCAGUACUUAUACACUUAUAUCAAAGAUUAAGCCAUGCAUGUCUACGUAUAUGUCGUAUUAAGGCGAAGUCAUGAAUGUCUCAUUAAAUCAGUUAUUGUUUCUUGGAUCCUACUAUAUUAAUUGAAUAAUUCUGGUAAUUCUAGAGAUAAUACAUGCGACAGAGCUCAGAGCUUCUGGAGAUGAGCGCUUUUGCUAGACCAAAAUCAGUCGGGCCUCGUAACCGUAUUAUGUGGUGAUUCUGUAUAUCUUCGGGUUGAUCGCACGGGCUCGUCCCGGCGAUGUAUCUUUCAAGUAUCUGCUUUAUCAGCUGUCGAUGGUAAGUUACGCGCCUACCGUGGUCGUAACGAGGGACGGGUAAUCAGGGUUUCCAAACGGAAAGUGAGCCUGAGAUGGCAGCAGGCGCGCAAAUUGCCCACAACCAGAACGGGGAAGUAGUGACGAAAAAUAACAAUACGGGUCUCUUUUGAGACCCCGUAAUUGAGCGAAUAUAUAAAUAAGUUUGUAUGGUAUGUGUCAGUAAAGUUAACAUGAAUAAAAGUGUUAUU
rnacentral:ncRNA from 1 species